GAUGAAGAACGUAGCGAAAUGCGAUAAGUAAUGUGAAUUGCAGAAUUCAGUGAAUCAUCGAAUCUUUGAACGCACAUUGCGCCCGCCAGUAUUCUGGCGGGCAUGCCUGUCCGAGCGUCAUUUCAACCCUCGAACCCCUCCGGGGGGUCGGCGUUGGGGACCUCGGGAGCCCCUAAGACGGGAUCCCGGCCCCGAAAUACAGUGGCGGUCUCGCCGCAGCCUCUCCUGCGCAGUAGUUUGCACAACUCGCACCGGGAGCGCGGCGCGUCCACGUCCGUAAACCACCCAACUUCUGAAAUGUUGACCUCGGAUCAGGUAGGAAUACCCGCUGAACUUAAGCAUAUCAAUAAGCGGAGGA
rnacentral:misc_RNA from 1 species